AUGAGAGGCUGCCAUCAUAGGCACAGUGCUGUUGCUUAUAUUUUAGAGGCAGGAACUGGCAAAACCAUCCUCAAGUAUUCCUUGCCUAAGAGGACCCAUGGAGUGACUAAAAGGCUCGUGAAACACACAAUGGAUAUUGAUGAAAUCCCUUCCAAUUCCAGGCUCCAGUCAAUGAAUUUGAUAAUAGAGAAAGAUAAAGAGAUCUUUGAUAUCUUAUUUGCAAUUCUUUGGGGAUUUUCCCCCUUUCCACUUCUAGCUCUCACAUCCUGUCCAAAUUGUGAUGACUUCUCUGUGCCUGAAGGUUCAUCCAAGGUGAUCGCUGCAAAUGUAUCAGCCUAUCCCAAAAUGCUUGUUCUGCAUAAAAACAAUUCUCCUAUUAGUUUGGAAAAAAUUCUGUUCAUAAACAAAGGUCAGAUACAAUUUGUGGAGACUGCAUGGACAGACUAUUUCUAUAUGUCUGGAAAUGAUCUUGCUAUCAAGAAUGCAAACGAAGUGCUCACUGGAUGCUACCAGCUUGCCUAUCAACUUAACGAACUUAGUGUGAAGCAAUUUUGCCUUGCAAUUCUAGGUCCAUGGAAUUGUUCUUCUGAUAGCUUCUCCUUAGCAGAAGGUUCCUCUGAAAAGAUCAUUGCUAACAAAUCCACCAACUCCUUUGAUCUUGCUUUAUAUAAGAAAGUUAAUGUUAGCUCUGACUGGGAACACAUUCUAAACAUAACUGAUGGACACCUGAGCUACAUUAGAGAGGAAUAUAAAAACAAUUUCUUGCUAUCGGAGGACGGCCUUACUCUGAAGAAUGCAACCAAAGGGCUCACUGGAGAGUAUCAGCUUGUUGGGGAAGGUAAUAAGACCUGUGUGCAGCAAUUCUUCCUUAAUGUCACAGGUAAGAUUCUGGAACUACUGUUCUGACGUCUCGGCUAUUGUAAGAGUGGAAGGAGAUAUAGUUUACAUUUCUUUUUGUUUCUUACUGGAUGUUUAUACAGGGUUUCUUCACCAUUGGUUCUCCAGAUGUUUUGUACUUCUGCUCCAAGAAUCUAUCAUGUUACCAAAGGCUUCUGGGAACUAAAGUACAGUAGAGCUGAAGAGAUUAUUGGUUGUGUAUCCCAGGUCUAAAGAACGGAGAGCUACCUUUUAUGGGUGUUUGCUAUUAUUUCUUUUAAGCAUCUUUCUUUUGAGGGACCCUGUGUAUACAAAGGAGCUAGAAUGCUUCUCUAAACUUGGGACAAGAAAAAAUCAGCUUUAAAAGCAACUAGCCUAUCCAAUAUGUGACCCAUCCCACUAAAUGUAGCCCAUGCUGAUUAUAUUACUGUGUCUUGAUGUUAGUGAUGGCUGUCAGUUAUUCUAGUGCUGUUAAGAACAGUUGCUGAAGAGCAGUAAGACUAUGGAGACCUGUGUUCAAAUGUGCACUUAGUCAUGGAAUGUAACCAAGAGUGAUCUUGGUGCAGUUAAUCUCUCAGCCUUAAGGGAAUGCAGUGUCAGGCCUCCUCUGUAUAAUCUUACCAAGAAAAUACUGCCUGAAGUUGGAGUCAACUUGAAGGCAUGCCACCACCACCCUUUUAUAAGUGUGUGCAAGCUGACUUUUUUUCCUUCUCCAUUUUAGGUUCAGGAGCCACCCGUGAUUCUACCAGUUCAGCAAUACCUAUUGGUAUUUUUAUUCUAGUAGUAAUUCUGGCACUAUGUGUGGGAUCCUUUAUAUAUCGCAAAAAGAAAAGAAGAGAAGAAAACAGAAAUGAAUUUGCUCAUCACUCUACAAAAGUGCAGGAUUCUGAAAAUGGAUUUCUGCAGCAUGGAACUGAAGCAACUGAAAUGCAAGGAACUGAAAUGGACAAACAUAGAAGAUACAACAGGGAUCUUUCUCCUAAAAAUGAAGAAGUGCCACAUUCUCACUGUGCGGAGUAAGCUCUGUUCUGUGGCUUACAAAGUUAGUAGGAGAAAUGUUGGUUUGUGCACGGACACUAUUUACCUUUUCUCUUUUUAAGCAUUAUAGCUUUACCUCUAUUUAUAUUGCUGCUGUAUUUUCCCAUUAGGUUUUAUAAACUUCUCCAAUUGGUCUUUCUUCUGCUAUUUGAGGCCCCAACCAGCAUAGUCAUUUUAAAGUUAGAAAGUGCCUGAACAGAGCAUUUCCUUUCCUACUCCAUGAUCUCUAUUUUUAAUUUUUAUUUUCCAAAAGUCAUGCUGUAGCUAUUGAGGGCCCUUCCACAUAGCCAUAUAACCCAGAAUAUCAAGGCAGAUAAUCCACAAUAUCUGCUUUGAAAUGGGUUAUCUGAGUCCACAUUGCCAUAUAAUCCAGUUCAAUGCAGAUAUUAUACAGCUGUGUGGAAGGGGCCUGAGCUUGCUCCUUCCAUGUUAGGUUUUUGUGAUUUGGAUAUUUCCCCUUCUUUAGACUCUUUUGCGCUAAAGAAAAAUAAUAUAAAGACACUUUUAAGCACAGUGAUACAUACUUCUUGUUUCUCAUUGCCACAUUUUAAUUAUAUUUCAGCAAUCCUUCAAGUGAUGGCUAUGUUAGAUAAAAUUUAUUGCUUAAUAUACCUUAUAGCUGGGUCUCACACAGGAAGGUACUGCCUAUAUCCUGAAAAUUGACUGGAAAGUAUUUCUGCUGCUUUAAUAAGGGGUUAAUUGUUAGCUACUAAGAUGAAUUUACCCAGUAGAGGACCCUUGUGGAGACCAAACUCUAUAGAGCUCAAGUCGCAUUGUAUAGAACGGCAUAAUAAAAUACUGUCCCUUAUAUAAAAUGCCGAAAAAAAUCCCUUUAAAAAUAUUUUAAAAUAAUAUUUCUCCAUACCCCCCCCCCCCCCCCAAAUGCACACACAUUAAUCUGGGCAGCUUUUCAGAAACAAUGAACAACUGUUGGUCUCCCUGCCGAAUACUAAAUCCUUUGAAUUGCUCUUGUCUUGUCUUGUGAUUACAUGUCGUUUAUUUAUUUAUUUUAAAUAUUUAUAUUUUGCUUUUCUCACCCCGAAAGGGACUCAGGGCAGAGCACAACAUAUAUACGGCAAGCAUUCCAUGCCAGGACAUAAAAUAAUUAUAAAUAUACACAAACAUUAGUGGAGUAGGUUUCCUAUUAUUGCCUCACCAGCCCCCUAAAGGGCUAGUAAAUGGAGAUAGUGCCCUCUGUAAAACAUUUUGAAAACCUUUUUGUGUAUUGAAAUAUCACUUAAGCAUUUUUUAACAGAGUUUAGAAAAAAGAAGAAAGAAUUAAAAUGUACAUGAAAGAAGCAGAAGUCAUUUCAUGAAGGCAGCAGACAACUUGUUGGCAACAUGUUUAAGAGCAUAGGUCCAAAACUUGUUCAAAUUAAUAUGAGUUUACCUGGAAUUAUAUUUAUUUAGUUUAUCUCCUGCCUUUCUCCCAAUGUCAGUCUAUGUGGUGCUACUAAGAUGAGACUUUUAAUAUGCAGUGCUAAUAUAUCCUACGUCAUUUGGGAAAUUGUCAAGAGUUCCCAACAAUAAAGCUUCCAUGUUUGUCAGCUGUAUGUGACAUCAUUUCUUCUUUUCCCCAAACAUCUUUAAGGGCUACUUUUUGCCUGGUAAUUAUAGCAUCCUUGGCCUUUCUCCUGGGAUAUAUCCUCCUCCUUGUAGCAUUUUAAUGUUGGCUCCUGAUCAAAUGUGUUUAUUUUCCUCUAUACAUAUUGGAUAAUGCCGGUUAUUGGUUUUAUUUUUUCAGUAUGUGAAUUUCCCCCAUGCCCCUUUUCCAUGCAUAUACUUUCCACCAUGCCUUCCUUGGUUCCAGAAUCCUAUUUCACUCCCAUCACUCUGGGAGUGCUUUAAUUGUGCUUAUACUGCAUGGCAAAAGGGAGUUCUUCCCCUGGGUCUUCCACUGAAACAUUAACUUUAUGUUGGUUAAAAUUGUUCUUUAUUUUAAAUAUUGCAUUGUUGUUUAUUUCUUUCCCUUUUUUGCACUACAAACAAGACAUGUGCAAUGUGCAUAGGAAUUUAUUCAUGUUUUUUUCUUCAAUUACUUCACACAAACACUCUCAAUCCACCUGCCACUGGCCCAACAUGUCUGUCAAUUUUUAAAAUGUAAUACAUCAAAAAGAUUCCCCAUGUCAUUCUCAUAUGUGUGUGUGUGUGUGUGUGUUCCGUCCCCCAGGACGAUGGUUUGCCUUACUUAUUGGUCGUUUGUUUUCCCUCCUUUGCAUUUUGUUUCAGCCUUUGGCUGCAAAGCCCAGGAAAGGUGGCUUGAAGUCUGCAAGAGCUGGCUGCAGUUUUCUUUGCAAUGAUUGGUCAAAGAGUACAACAUCUUAGGACCGCCCUUUUUACCAGGGUCUAGUCUCCAUUUUAGAGUUUCAUUCUGGCUAUAGUCUUCCAACGUGCUGGAGCUGUGCAAGGCUAACUGGGACAAAUCAUCCUCAAAACCAGGCCAAUCUAAGCCUAUCCAAAUUAGAUAAGUAUUGAAUUAUAUUGAUCUGGAAUAGGAAAUCUAGUUAGAGGAGCAAAGUUAUUCCAUCGCUUCUAGAACUAAUCUUUGCUGUAAAGAUAGGGAAGGAAAGAGUUUCUCCUUCUAAUAUAGACAGCGUGAUUAGGGUAUAGUGGUUUUAUAAUCACCUUUGCCUUCUGGAACCAGGGAUAAUUCUGCAACUAAAACCUGGACAGGCCU
ensembl:lncRNA